UGUAGCUCAGUGAUAGAGCACCUGCCUGGCAUGCAUGAGGCCCUGGGUUCAAUCCCCCUGUA
rnacentral:tRNA from 1 species